rfam:Streptomyces cyaneogriseus subsp. noncyanogenus strain NMWT 1, complete genome.
CUUCAGCGACCCCAGCAGCAACGGCCGCCCCUCCGGCCGGGACUGCCCGUACGUCGCCAGCAGCGCCUGCGCCUC